rnacentral:rRNA from 1 species
AAGCUUUACUGUAGCCUGGAAUUGGAAUCGGGCUUACUUUGCGCAGCAUAGGUGGGAGGCUAAGAUUAUAUACUUGUGGGUAUAUGUGAGCCAUCAGUGAGAUACCACUCUAAGUAAGCUAGAUUUCUAACUUUGAUUGCCGUUAUCCGGCCAAAGAACAGUUUCAGGUGGGCAGUUUGACUGGGGCGGUCGCCUCCUAAAAGGUAACGGAGGUGUACAAAGGUUCCCUCAGGCUGGUCGGAAAUCAGUCGUAGAGUAUAAAGGCAUAAGGGAGCUUGACUGCAAGACUUACAAGUCAAGCAGAGACGAAAGUCGGUCUUAGUGAUCCGACAGUUCCGUAUGGAAGGGCUGUCGCUCAACGGAUAAAAGUUACUCUA